rnacentral:rRNA from 1 species
GAUGAACGCUGGCGGCGUGCCUAAUACAUGCAAGUCGAGCGAACAGAUGAGGAGCUUGCUCCUCUGACGUUAGCGGCGGACGGGUGAGUAACACGUGGAUAACCUACCUAUAAGACUGGGAUAACUUCGGGAAACCGGAGCUAAUACCGGAUAAUAUAUUGAACCGCAUGGUUCAAUAGUGAAAGACGGUUUUGCUGUCACUUAUAGAUGGAUCCGCGCCGCAUUAGCUAGUUGGUAAGGUAACGGCUUACCAAGGCGACGAUGCGUAGCCGACCUGAGAGGGUGAUCAGCCACACUGGAACUGAGACACGGUCCAGACUCCUACGGGAGGCAGCAGUAGGGAAUAUUCCGCAAUGGGCGAAAGCCUGACGGAGCAACGCCGCGUGAGUGAUGAAGGUCUUCGGAUCGUAAAACUCUGUUAUUAGGGAAGAACAAAUGUGUAAGUAACUAUGCACGUCUUGACGGUACCUAAUCAGAAAGCCACGGCUAACUACGUG